UGGGGAAUAUUGCACAAUGGGCGAAAGCCUGAUGCAGCAACGCCGCGUGCGGGAUGACGGCCUUCGGGUUGUAAACCGCUUUCAGCAGGGACGAAGGUUUUCUGACGGUACCUGCAGAAGAAGCACCGGCUAACUACGUGCCAGCAGCCGCGGUGAUACGUAGGGUGCGAGCGUUGUCCGGAAUUAUUGGGCGUAAAGAGCUUGUAGGCGGUCCGUUGCGUCGGAAGUGAAAACUCAGGGCUUAACCCUGAGCCUGCUUUCGAUACGGGCGGACUUGAGGGAUGUAGGGAGAACGGAAUUCCUGGUGGAGCGGUGGAAUGCGCAGAUAUCAGGAGGAACACCAGUGGCGAAGGCGGUUCUCUGGACAUUUCCUGACGCUGAGAAGCGAAAGCGUGGGGAGCAAACAGGCUUAGAUACCCUGGUAGUCCACGCCGUAAACGGUGGGCACUAGGUGUGGGACCCAUUCCACGGGUUCCGUGCCGUAGCUAACGCAUUAAGUGCCCCGCCUGGGGAGUACGGCCGCAAGGCUAAAACUCAAAGGAAUUGACGGGGUCAU
rnacentral:rRNA from 1 species